UUUUGUCUUCUGCAUCUCUGUUGCCACUGCUGAAACGCACCACCCACCACCUCACUGUGCUCACAUCCACUGUUUGGUCUUUGUCAACAUUUGGCAAGUAUGAAUGAAUAUCAGUGGGUGCUAUUUUUUUUUUCUGUAUGGAGCAAUUCAAUUCAACACCUUUGCUUCAUCUGCACUUCCAUGUCAGAUGUGAUUUUGUCAGUCUCAUACCUAAAAAUAACUUUUUCACAAUUUUGGAAAUACUCAGCCUUCCAACCACAGAGCAGAAAGCCAUAUAACUUAAGACAACUACUCAACAAAGUUUGAAUUAAAAUAAGAUGUUGUGAAAAAAAAUAUGGUUGUCAGCAGUGCACUGGCUGACUGAUGGCAGAAGAAUGUUUGACAAACAUGUUUGAAUAAUAAAUAGAGCAGGAAAUAGCAAGGACUGAGAUUUUCUAAAUAAUCUAGAGGCUUUAGUAAUAUGUUUUACCCAGAUCACAUACUUGUAUAAGUAGUAGUACAGUUUAGCACUGAAGACAUUUGAUUAUGUCAUACUCUGUUGUCAGUAAUACUGAGAAAAGGAUGGGUUAGCUGAAGAAACCAACUUAAGAGUAAAAAAGUUUCAGGUCAAAAUACUUGGACAGUAUCUGGAGAAACUGAAAAGAGCUAAUAAAUUUAACAGUCUUCUUCUUAGUCAUAACCAAGCAGUAAAAUCAAAAUAAUAAUCACGUGUAUGGCACUGCAUGACUCAGCCAACCAUAUUACUUGCACAUGGGAGUUUUAUUUUAUGAUAUGUCUAUCAGUUAGUUCUCCUCUUCAGUUGAUCACAAGCUCAUUUUUCUAUUUUGGAAUCCAAAUAUAUAUAUUUCUUUUAAAGUUAUUUUUCAUUUUAUGAAGUAGCUCAACUAAAGAUUGUUGGAUGUCAAGCUAUAUCCAAGAUAUAUAUAUCCUUGAUCUAUAGGGCACAAUCAAGAGGACAUCAACAUCAAGAAUCAUUUUUCUGCUUAAAAUGCGAAAACAAGUCUCCUGUGAGAUGCAGACAAGCCCAGAGGGGUCUACAGGUCAGCACGACACAAAGCCUGGAUCCCAUUGCAAGUAACAGCAACCAACAGACAAAACUACACCCCCUUUUUGCUCUGAUAUUUUUGCAGUUGGCUUCCUCUGAAAGGGUAAUUUUGUCUUGGCUGAUGUGGAGGUUCAGAAGCCCAGUCAG